AACCACCAUCUUCAGCUCCCAUUAGCCAAGCAGGGUUUGGUUGUCCAGCAUUCUGUGCAGCCCACCCUUUCCUUUGCCCUCAUUUAUCCCAUGAUGUGCAGGAAGGCAAGGCGGCGGGAGCAAUCUCCAUUCUUGUUAGGAGGAAUUGUGUACCUCAUUCUCUGUGCAUUGUGCUGCGAAUGAACAGGGAAAGACGUGUUUGGAAUCAGUAAAAAGCCUCUGCUAUUCAGCUGGAAGAGCGCGCUGGCUGUAGCUCAUGAGAAGGGGGAAGAAUGAAAAACAAUUGCUUAAAAAGAGAAUCAGUUGGAUGUCUCCCCAAAUUUCUGCUGAGGCAAUGACAAUUUGGAAGCCGUUUCCAGCCUUGCUCCAACCUAGUUGCUAACCUUUGUGCUGCGUGCAGGAUUGCUGUUAGCAGCACUUUUCCAGCUACGUCAGUUUUUCAUCUCCACACUCGCUAAUGGCUAAAGACGCCUUGUACCCUCCAGAUACAUUAGAUUGCAACACAAACCAUAACCAGCUACUGUGACUACUGUAUAUGCUGUCUGGAGUCCAACACAUUUGGGGAGGAGCACCAGAUUGGGAAAGGAUCAUAUGGAUCAUUCCAGACAAUGGGAUCAGCUCUAUCACUGGGUCACCAUAAGCAAUAUGACGUUUGGUCCUAGCAAGAAGGGUCACUGGCACUCAUUCAAUAGUUUCAAGCAAUGGAGGUCCACACAACAGUAUCUCCGCUUUUCCAGUCCUCUUGUAUAUUAUCUACCAGUUGCCAGGGGAUACUAUCCAGGUGUUCAAAAGAGACUCUAAAGGAUUUGAGAUUUAACUUUUUGCCUAGUUGUAGUGUUGAAUUGUUGGUGGGGUUUAUGUUUUAUUUGUUUAAUUUAUGCAAGUAAAUUUUGCUAUUUCUGCAGUGCAACUAUCGUUAGUGUCUGGUGUGAAUAUUUUAUGUUAUUUUCAAUAUUAUGAAUGUUCAAAGAG